rnacentral:lncRNA from 1 species
AGUUAUCUGGGUGAGCAGGCAGCGGACAAGUGACGUCUCCCGGCCUGCUGCCCCAGGCCCCCCACAAGCCGCGUUCUGGGGCCGUGGCCUCCCCAGAGCAGAUCAGUGGGGGCUGUGUGAGCAACACUGGGGGCAGCUGGGCAGCGCCUCCCUGGAGGCCCCUCUGAAAUCCCGCCGGAUGCUGGCAGGCUCCAAGGGGGCUGGACACCAUCUUCUCAGGGCCCUGCAGGGAAGCGUGGAAAGGCGGCACAGGGCUGGACCCAGAGGAGCUCUCAGAUGCUGGACUGGACUGUUUCAGGGGUCAUCUAGCCCAUUCCCCGCCUCCAGGCGAGGAUUUGCUUGAGCCUGGAAAGAUGAAGGAUCCUCCCAGUGCCGUCAAGCCCCGGAUUCCACCUCCCUGUAGGUGGACUGCCAGCGCAGGCCCUGACAACGCAGAGAAAGACACAGGACCCAGCUGGGCCAGUGACAGCAGGAGCUCCUGGUGCCACAGGAAUGGAAACUGUGACUCAUAAUAGCCAGCUAGUCAAUGAUUAUUCCCCCCAGUCCCUGGCGCAUCAAGAUUUGCUGUGCUCAAUGGUGCCCAGACUGGAGUACAGUGGCGUGAUCUCGGCUCGCUACAACCUCCACCUCCCAGCCACCUGCCUUGGCCUCCCAAAGUGCCGAGAUUGCAGCUUCUGCCUGGCUGCCACCCCGUCUGGGAAGUGAGGAGCGUCUCUGCCUGGCCGCCCAUCGUCUGGGAUGUGAGGAGCCCCUCUGCCUGGCUGCCCAGUCUGGGAAGUGAGGAGCGUCUCUGCCCAGCCGCCAUCCCAUCUAGGAAGGGAGGAGCGUCUCUGCCCAGCUGCCCAUCGUCUGAGAUGUGGGGAGCGCCUCUGCCCCGCCGCCCCGUCUGGGAUGUGAGGAGCGCCUCUGCCCGGCCGCGACCCUGUCUGGGAGGUGAGGAGCGUCUCCACCUGGCAGCCACCCCGUCCGGGAGGGAGGUGGGGGUCAGCCCCCACCAGGCCAGCCGCCCCGUCCGGGAGGGAGGUGGGGGGGUCAGCCCCCCGCCCGGCCAGCCGCCCCGUCUGGGAGGGAGGUGGGGGGGUCAGCCCCCCACCCGGCCAGCCGCCCCGUCCGGGAGGUGAGGGGCGCCUCUGCCCGGCCGCCCCUACUGGGAAGUGAGGAGCCCCUCUGCCCGGCCAGCCGCCCUGUCCGGGAGGGAGGUUGGGGUGGGGGGGUCAGCCCUCCGCCCGGCCUGCCGCCCCGUCCGGGAGGUGAGGGGCGCCUCUGCCCGGCCACCCCUACUGGGAAGUGAGGAGCCCCUCUGCCCGGCCACCACCCCGUCUGGGAGGUGUGCCCAGCGGCUCAUUGAGAACGGGCCAUGAUGACAGUGGCGGUUUUGUGGAAUAGAAAGGGGGAAAAGGUGGGGAAAAGAUUGAGAAAUCAGAUGGUUGCCGUGUCUGUCUAGAAAGAAGUAGACAUGGGAGACUUUUCAUUUUGUUCUGUACUAAGAAAAAUUCUUCUGCCUUGGGAUCCUGUUGAUCUGUGACCUUACCCCCAACCCUGUGCUCUCUGAAACAUGUGCUGUAUCCACUCAGGGUUGAAUGGAUUAAGGGCGGUGCAAGAUGUGCUUUGUUAGACAGAUGCUUGAAGGCAGCAUGCUCGUUAAGAGUCAUCACCACUCCCUAAUCUCAAGUACCCAGGGACACAAACACUGCGGAAGGCCGCAGGGUCCUCUGCCUAGGAAAACCAGAGACCUUUGUUCACUUGUUUAUCUGCUGACCUUCCCUCCACUAUUGUCCUAUGACCCUGCCAAAUCCCCCUCUGCGAGAAACACCCAAGAAUGAUCAAUAAAAAAUG